UACGGAGGGUGCGAGCGUUAUUCGGAUUUACUGGGCGUAAAGGGUCCGCAGGGGGUUUGCCAAGUCUGAUGUGAAAGCCCGAGGCUCAACCUCGGAACUGCAUUGGAAACUGGCGGACUUGAGUAUGCGAGGGGUGAGCAGAAUUCCAGGUGUAGCGGUGGAAUGCGUAGAUAUCUGGAAGAAUACCGAUGGCGAAGGCGGCUCACUGGCGCAAUACUGACCCUCAUGGACGAAAGCGUGGGUAGCAAACAGG
rnacentral:rRNA from 1 species